rnacentral:rRNA from 1 species
CAUGCAUGUCUCAGUACGAGCCGUAUUAAGGUGAAACCGCGAAAGGCUCAUUAAAUCAGUUAUGGUUCCUUAGAUCGUACCCACAUUUACUUGGAUAACUGUGGUAAUUCUAGAGCUAAUACAUGCAAACAGAGCUCCGACCGGAGACGGAAGGAGCGCUUUUAUUAGAUCAAAACCAAUCGGUGUCGGGUUYGCCCGUCAUCGUACACCUUGGUGACUCUGAAUAACUUUAUGCUGAUCGCACGGUCUCGCACCGGCGACGCAUCUUUCAAAUGUCUGCCUUAUCAACUGUCGAUGGUAGGCUCUGCGCCUACCAUGGUUGUAACGGGUAACGGGGAAUCAGGGUUCGAUUCCGGAGAGGGAGCCUGAGAAACGGCUACCACAUCCAAGGAAGGCAGCAGGCGCGCAAAUUACCCACUCCCGGCACGGGGAGGUAGUGACGAAAAAUAACGAUACGGGACUCAUCCGAGGCCCCGUAAUCGGAAUGAGUACACUCUAAACCC